AAAGAAGGACAGAUGGCCGCCGGUCCCCCCUUUGCCGCUCGCGGCAUCUGUGGGGGACGGGAGGAAAGUCCGGGCUCCACAGGGCAGGAUGGUCCCUAACGGGGACCGGGGGCGACCCCAGGGAAAGUGCCACAGAGAGAAGACCGCCCGCUUCAAGCGGGUAAGGGUGAAAGGGUGAGGUAAGAGCUCACCAGUUCCGGCGGCGACGUCGGAAGCUCGGUAAACCCCAUCCGGAGCAAGGCCGAAUAGAGGAGCGUUUGAGGGCGGCCCGUCCGAGGCUCCUGGGUGUGCUGCUUGAGGCCGUCGGCAACGGCGGUCCUAGAGGAAUGGUCAUCGCCCCGCCGCGGGUAACUUCGGCGGGGAACAGAACCCGGCUUACGGCCUUCUUUGGCC
rnacentral:RNase_P_RNA from 1 species